rnacentral:rRNA from 1 species
AACGAACGCUGGCGGCAGGCUUAACACAUGCAAGUCGAACGCCCCGCAAGGGGAGUGGCAGACGGGUGAGUAACGCGUGGGAAUCUACCCUGAUCUGCGGGAUAGCUCCGGGAAACUGGAAUGAAUACCGCAUAUGUCCUGAGGGACAAAGAUUGAUCGGUUCAGGAUGAGCCCGCGUCCGAUUAGCUAGUUGGUGGGGUAAAGGCCUACCAGGCGACGAUCGGUAGCUGGUCUAAGAGGAUGAUCAGCCACAUUGGGACUGAGACACGGCCCAAACUCCUACGGGAGGCAGCAGUGGGGAAUAUUGGACAAUGGGCGCAAGCCUGAUCCAGCCAUGCCGCGUGAGUGAUGAAGGUCUUAGGAUUGUAAAGCUCUUUCACCGGGGACGAUAAUGACGGUACCCGGAGAAGAAGCCCCGGCUAACUUCGUGCCAGCCGCCGCGGUAA